CGUGGCAACUUAUGAAAAUGAUAAUAAUUUGCUAAUGUACUUUCACCCUUUUUAACCGGAUUUUCCACAGAAAAAUCGGUUGAUAGGUUGAAGGUUGGUGCGACCAUUAAAACGUUUAAACCCGCUGUACUAAAAUUUUAAAAUAAAUUGGGACUUGGAUUGAGAGUUGUCUCAUGGGCACUCAUACCACAUCUUUUUAUUUAUAUCAUUUUGGUGAUGUUAGAAUGCUGCCAAACAUUGUCCAUGCCCUUUACUCAUGAACCGUUCAAUCAAAGCUUUUAAAAUUUUAAUUUGUCGUUACUGAUGCCAAAAUGGAGGUCAAGUUUGAUAUUGACGAUUUUUACUGUUUUUGAUCAUGAGGUAU
rnacentral:lncRNA from 1 species